rnacentral:sRNA from 1 species
CACACCACCACACCUGGCUAAUUUUUGUAUUUUUUUGUCUGUUUGUUCGUUUGUUUUUGGGAUGAAGUCUCGCUCUGUUGCCCAGGCUGGAGUGCAAUGGCGCGGUCUCAGCUCACCGCAACCUUCGCCUCCCGGGUUCAAGCGAUUCUCCUGGCUCAGCUUCCCCAGUAGCUGGGAUUACAGGCGCCUGCCACCAUGCCUGGCUAAUUUUUGUAUUUUUAGUAGAGAUGGGGUUUUACCACGUUGGCCAGGCUGGUCUCGAACUGCUGACCUCGUGAUCUGCCUGCCUCAGCCUCCCAAAGUGCUGGGAUUAUAGGCGUGAGCCACCGCACCCAGCCUAAUUUUUGUAUUUUUAAUGGAGGUGGGGUUUCACCAUGUUGGCCAGGCUGGUGUCGAACUCCUGACCUCAAGUGAUCUGCCCACCUUAGUUUAUUUAUUUAUUUAUUUAUUUAUUUAUUUAUUUAUUUUUUUUUUUGUGAGAUGGAGUCUAGCUCUGUCGCCCAGGCUGGAAUGCAGUGGCGCAAUGUCCGCUCACUGCAAGCUCCGCCUCCCAGGUUCAUGCCAUUCUUCUGCCUCAACCUUCCCAGUAGCUGAGACUACAGGUACCUGCCACCACGCCCGGCUAAUUUUUUAUAUUUUUAGUAGAGACGGGGUUUCAUUGUGUUAGCCAGGGUGGUCUCGAUCUCCUGAUCUUGUGAUCCGCCCGCCUCGGCCUCCCAAAGUGCUGGGAUGACAGGCGUAAGCCAUAUUUAUCUUUUUUAAUGACAAACAUGCCACCUGUUCCCAUGAUGCUGGGUCCCAUAAAGUGGAAUGUAAAAGUUCCCUCUAAAACAUCCACCUGACUUAGCAUCUUGUCCAUAAAACUGGGGAAAGGCACACACAGAAGGAACCAAAUUCUGGGAAUGCAUCAUGGCUCAGCCAAAAAUAUUGCUGGGGACUUGUCUGGGCACAGAUCUUACUCUGCACACUUGAUUUCCCUGUGCCCCUUGGGGUGCAAAACUGGGGUCCUUUAGCUGUGCUAGAGGCUAGAAUGAGAAUUUCUUGGUGUGAGCCCAUUUAAAAUAAUCAUUUAUUUUACAAUUUAAGCAGCUUUUUAACAGCGUAUAAAAAAAUGUAUGAAAGUAAUUUGUGCUCAAUGGAGAAAACCUGGGUAAUAUAGAGAAGCAUGAAGGGGGAAAUAUGCCUUUCAUUCAGAAAGAACAUUUUGACAUGUUACUGAGUUUCACCAAUUUAAGUUUCAUUUCUGUUCUUCCUUGAUCCAGCCCACAGAAUCUGAUUGCCCAGUCUCAGUCUGGCACUGGUAAAACAGCUGCCUUUGUCUUAGCCAUGCUCAGCCGAGUGGAGCCAUCAGACAGAUACCCCCAGGUGAGGGCUUGCGGGGCUGGGUGUCCUAGGUUGCCUGCCCUGGGGAGCGCAGUGCCAUCUGGUGAGGAGUAACGAGAGGUCUGAAGCUUCUGACACCUUAGGCUGUGGCUCAGGCAGAGCAAGUUCCUACACCAGGCCCUGACCUGGGAGAAUGUGCUUGAAAGCAGCAGCCUUAGACCAUGGCUUGCAAAGGCCUCUGCCAAGCCAGGGCUACCUGCUGCAGGCUUCAGUCUAUAGCUGAAAGGUGGGCCUGGAUGGGAGGACAUGCUUCCCUGUGCUAUUCAAGUGCUAAUAACAUCAGCAUACUGGGUGCCUUCAGGUCUGUUACCAAAUGGCUCUCCUAAACUCAUCCUUUAUGAUUUUUCUGUCAGUGUCUGUGCCUUUCCCCAACAUAUGAGCUGGCGCUUCAAACAGGAAAAGUGAUUGAGCAGAUGGGCAAAUUUUACCCAGAACUGAAACUUGCCUAUGCCGUUCGAGGCAAUAAAUGUGAGUACGGCAGGCGACAACUGAACAGUGAGCAGGGUAGGGGGUUGGGCGUUUGAAUUUUGAAGAUGCGAUGACCGUAUUCAACUUUCUAAUUCAGUCUGACCCUGGAGCCUAACUGUGUUGCUCUAUUUGAAUCUAUUUGAAUACCUGCUAAUUUGUUAACAGUCUUUUUCAGUCUUAAAAUAAGAUUUUCGGUUGAUAAAAAAAAAAAUCCACGCAUGGCUCACAGAGUUCUUAAUAUCUAGAGUUCUUCGCUCAGAAGGUAGAGUUUUGAAUUUAGCGUCCAGAGUUCUGGGACCUGCUACCAAAGAGGGAUUAACAGGACUGAGGAUGGAAGGUUGGGGUCAGCUCCCUUUCUUUAAAAGUAAGCAAAACCAGGUACAGUGGCUCACACCUGCAAUCCCAGCCCUUUGGGAGGCCAGGGUGGGAGGACUGCUUGAGCACAUGGUUUGAGACCAGCCUGGGCAACACAGUAAGACAAAAAAUAAAAAAAAAAAAUAGCCAAGCGUGGAAGUGCCAGCUUGUAGUCCCAGCUACGUGGGAGGCUGAGGCAGGAGGAUCGCUUGAACCUGUGUGGUCAAAGCUGCAGUGAGCCAUGACUGUGUCACCGCCCUCUAGUCUGGGCAACAGAGUGAGACCCUGUCUCAAAAUAAAUAAAUAAAUAAAUAAACAUAAAAAGAGUUGGAUGAUGUUGGAUUAUAGGAGGAAGAAGAAGGGAGCUGAUGCUUAUUGAAGGAUUGCUGUGUGGGAUUUGAUCCUGACCACAGUGCACUGAGAUAGGUGUCAUUCUGCCCACUUCACAGCAGAAGAGACCAAGACUGAGGGGAACACUCAUGUGUGUUUUGAAAUCUGGAAAUAACUUGUUCUCCUAGUCCUAGAAGGAUGGGCAGGGCUUUGAUUUCCAGAGCUGGCUUUGCCUUUGAAAUACCUAUGAAAAUCACCUGGGUCUCCACAGUGGAAAGAGGCCAGAAGAUCAGUGAGCAGAUUGUCAUUGGCACCCCUGGGACCGUGCUGGACUGGUGCUCCAAGCUCAAGUUCAUUGAUCCCAAGAAAAUCAAGGUGUUUGUUCUGGAUGAGGCUGAUGUCAUGAUAGCCACUCAGGGCCACCAAGAUCAGAGCAUCCGCAUCCAGAGGAUGCUGCCCAGGAACUGCCAGAUGCUGCUUUUCUCUGCCACCUUUGAAGACUCUGUGUGGAAGUUUGCCCAGAAAGUGGUCCCAGACCCAAACGUUAUCAAACUGAAGCGUGAGGAAGAGACCCUGGACACCAUCAAGCAGUACUAUGUCCUGUGCAGCAGCAGAGACGAGAAGUUCCAGGCCUUGUGUAACCUCUACGGGGCCAUCACCAUUGCUCAAGCCAUGAUCUUCUGCCAUACUCGCAAAACAGCUAGUUGGCUGGCAGCAGAGCUCUCAAAAGAAGGCCACCAGGUGGCUCUGCUGAGUGGGGAGAUGAUGGUGGAGCAGAGGGCUGCGGUGAUUGAGCGCUUCCGAGAGGGCAAAGAGAAGGUUUUGGUGACCACCAACGUGUGUGCCCGCGGCAUCGAUGUUGAACAAGUGUCUGUCGUCAUCAACUUUGAUCUUCCCGUGGACAAGGACGGGAAUCCUGACAAUGAGACCUACCUGCACCGGAUCGGGCGCACGGGCCGCUUUGGCAAGAGGGGCCUGGCAGUGAACAUGGUGGACAGCAAGCACAGCAUGAACAUCCUGAACAGAAUCCAGGAGCAUUUUAAUAAGAAGAUAGAAAGAUUGGACACAGAUGAUUUGGACGAGAUUGAGAAAAUAGCCAACUGAGAAGCUCCACCAGCCACUGAUGCCAGCCCUGGCACUGCCCCUGCACAGGAGACAAGUGCAUUUAGGGCACAGGCCCCGACAUCACCCCAAGGACAACGGCAGGAGUAGAGAGAAACUACCUACCUCACUUCAAAUUAUGUUUGGACUUGACAAAAAUAGGUGCAAAUGAUGGGGGGCAAUAGAAGAAAAAAUUUGCAUUUUGGAGAAUUGGGUCCUUUCUCCACUUUUUUAAAGCCACAUUCCCCCAUCUUUAUAAUAAUCUGGUCACAGUGGUAGUCGCUGGCCCCAGGACCCCCUCCUGAUUUUGGGUAGGCAUCGUGGAACCAGCUCCAGCCCCUGAAGAAACGAUAGAUGUGCAGGUUGUGCAGAAGAGGCUGAGUGGAAAAUUGUGUGAGCCCCACCGCUGUGCAUCGAAUGAGGGAAGUGGCAGCAGAGAGGCCAAAGCUGCCCCCUCUCUGUCUCUCCAGUGGACCCUUCACAAGUGUUUCUCCUGCCCUUGGGGCCGUCUUCCUUCUCCUGAAAUCCAGAGACUUUCUUGCUCAUCCCUUCUCCCUUUCACUUCUGUUCUCUGCUGCAGAAAGCAGACUUGCAUAUCCCUGAUGCGCAGCUCGGCUACUUUUGUAAACUUCAGAUUUGGAGAGAAACACGAAAGUCAGUGAAUCCUGACCCCUUGAGAGAGAGUGAUCUGGCGAGGGCCGAUGAAGGGGCUGGGCCUGGUCUUGCCUUCUCUUCUCUCGGUGGCUCCCUCUGCUUAGGCCCCUGGUACUCAGUCACGGCAGCCAGGAGACCCCAGGUGAGUUUCUGAGCGCAUACGUAGUUGGUUCUUACCCCCAGGUGUCACACGGGGCCGAGAGCUGAGCAAGAAUUUGGAAUGGAAGUUAUGACCAAGGGAAUUAUGCUGUUCAUUUAUAAUAGUGGACAUUAUGGAGAGCUCUGAUUCCUACAUAAUAUGAAUAAGGAUGGAUAGGCCGGGCGUGGUGGCUCAUGCCUAUAAUCCCAGCACGUUGGGAGGCUGAGGCGGGCGGAUCGGUUGAGCUCAGGAGUUCGGGACCAGCCUGGCCAACGUGAUGAAACCCCGUCUCUACCAAAAAUAGAAAAAAAUAUAGCCGGGCGUGGUGGCGCACGCCUGUAGUCCCAGCUACUCGGGAGGCUGAGGUAGGAGGAUCGCUUGAGCCUGGUUAGAGGCUGCUGUGAGCUGAAAUGGCGCCACUGCACUCCAGCCUGGGUAACAGAGCGAGACCCCGACUCAAUAAAUAAAUAAGGAUGGAUAAAUUAUAGCUGUAUGCAUCAUUCAUUAUGCUAAGACAUUUUAAAGUAAUUAUGAGAAACGCUCUACUAAUGAUUUGUUUUUAUUUGUAUUUUUCUGCUUAUUAGCAAAUAUAUACUCAUUUU